GAUGAACGCUGGCGGCGUGCCUAAUACAUGCAAGUCGAGCGAACAGACGAGGAGCUUGCUCCUCUGACGUUAGCAGCGGACGGGUGAGUAACACGUGGAUAACCUACCUAUAAGACUGGGAUAACUUCGGGAAACCGGAGCUAAUACCGGAUAAUAUAUUGAACCGCAUGGUUCAAUAGUGAAAGACGGUUUUGCUGUCACUUAUAGAUGGAUCCGCGCCGCAUUAGCUAGUUGGUAAGGUAACGGUUUACCAAGGCAACGAUGCGUAGCCGACCUGAGAGGGUGAUCGGCCACACUGGAACUGAGACACGGUCCAGACUCCUACGGGAGGCAGCAGUAGGGAAUCUUCCGCAAAGGGCGAAAGCCUGACGGAGCAACGCCGCGUGAGUGAUGAAGGUCUUCGGAUCGUAAAACUCUGUUAUUAGGGAAGAACAAAUGUGUAAGUAACUAUGCACGUCUUGACGGUACCUAAUCAGAAAGCCACGGCUAACUACGUG
rnacentral:rRNA from 1 species